CGGUAAUACGUAGGGUGCAAGCGUUAAUCGGAAUUACUGGGCGUAAGGCGUGCGCAGGCGGUGAUGUAAGACAGGUGUGAAGCCCCCGGGCUUAACCUGGGAACUGCAUUUGUGGUUGCAUCGCUGGAGUGCGGCAGAGAGGGAUGGAAUUCCGCGUGUAGCAGUGAAAUGCGUAGAUAUGCGGGGGAACACCGAUGGCGAAGGCAAUCUCCUGGACCUGCACUGACGCUCAUGCACGGGAGCGUGGGGAGCAAACAGGAUUAGAUACCCCGGUAGUCCACGCCCUAAACGAUGUCAACUGGUUGUUGGGUCUUCACUGACUCAGUAACGAAGCUAACGCGUGAAGUUGACCGCCUGGGGAGUACGGCCGCAAGGUUGAA
rnacentral:rRNA from 1 species